UACGUAGGGGGCAAGAGUUGUCCGGAAUUAUUGGGCGUAAAGCGCGCGCAGGCGGUGCGUUAAGUCGGAUGUGAAAGGCCACGGCUCAACCGUAGAGCUGCAUCCGAAACUGGCGGUCUUGAGUGCAGGAGAGGGGAGUGGAAUUCCCGGUGUAGCGGUGGAAUGUGUAGAGAUCGGGAGGAACACCAGUGGCGAAGGCGACUCUCUGGCCUGUAACUGACGCUGAGGCGCGAAAGCGUGGGGAGCAAACAGG
rnacentral:rRNA from 1 species